rnacentral:rRNA from 1 species
GCAAGUCGAGCGAGAAUGUUUUAAUGGAAUCUUCGGAUGAAAUUAAAACAGGAAAGCGGCGGACGGGUGAGUAACGCGUAGGCAACCUACCCUAUACAGAAGGAUAGCCUCGGGAAACUGGGAAUAAUACUUAAUGAAACUCUAACAGCGAAUGAUGUGUGAGUCAAAAUUCAGGUGGUAUAGGAUGGGCCUGCGUCUGAUUAGCUAGUUGGUAAGGUAAUGGCUUACCAAGGCGACGAUCAGUAGCCGACCUGAGAGGGGGAGC